UCUCCUUGACCCAAAUGACUUCUUUCACCUG
rnacentral:rRNA from 1 species